AUGAAAAGGUGGAUGCUACUCCUGUUUCGAGCCCUGCCACUGCUCUUCCCGUCCAGCACCAUGCCACCUAAGAAGCUGGGCUUAAGCAGCGAGGCUCUUUUCCAUGUCCUUACGACUCCAGAGGAUCCUGAUGGUUUCCUGCGCCAGCGACCACUGUCUUGCCCAGUCGUGCUUGUUUCUGAGGACAACUGCAUGAUCGCCAUUGGAAACAUGCCAGUGACCACCUUCAACAUUGAGAGGUUUGAUGAGGGACUGCUCUACCUCAUGGCAUAUUACUAUGCCCUGCACCUCACUUACCCAAAGUGUAUUUCCACACUUCUGUCAGUACUGCAAACACAAAUUCUCCAAGAUUCCAUUCAUGAGCAAGAUUUGACCCCUUCCUACAAAAAAGCCAUUGGCGAGUGGAAGUCCUUCAUUGAGUGAGUGAGUGAGUCUCUUUGUUUCUUUUGUGGUUGUUUCUUGACACCGCCUCACUCUCUAUCUCAUGUAAGACUUUCCAAGAAAGUCAAAGUUCUGUUUAAUGUAAGGUUUAUCACUGUUAGCCACAUUUGUUGGUGAAACUGAAAACUUUUCCUGUGGGAUAAUGUGCAAUAACAGCAGCUGCAAAGUUGUAAUAAUUGUUAUAGUAUGCUGCAAUAAUAGCAGAUAUAACAUUCUGUUUUUUGAUGGAUGUUUAAUUAAGCAAUUGUAUUGCAAAGUGAAUAAAAAAUAUUAAAAAUGAGAAUGUUUUGGUGUCUUGAUUUAAGACAAAGUCACUUAUUUUUUUAAUGCUAUUUGAAGAAAUUGUGUCUUAUUUGAACUACUUUUAUACUUGUUAUUAAUCCCAGAUUAAGGUGUCAUUUCUUAAAGUUAACUCAGUCAAGAGACCAAAAUUCUAAUUUUAAGUAACUUAAUCUGGGUUUUGUGGGUUUUCAUUGCUUUUUAUAGAAGAAUUUACUUUAAUUUAAGAUUUUCUGUCUAGUUUUAAGGCCCAUUUUAGUCUGUCAGAGGCAAGAACUUAUUUUAACUUUUAUUUUAAGAAUUCUUGUCAAGUAAAAAAAGCUUACCCCAUUGACAGAUUUUCUUGCUAGAUAUAAGAUAAUUUGAUUGAAUUUAAGAAUAUUUUUGCUUCUUUCUAGUAGGUCUGUUUUUGCAGUGAACCAGGUAAAAUCCCAUUGAGAUUAAGAACGUAUUUGUUGUUAUAUGAACAUAGCCAAUGCAUAUAAAAAUUGUCAAUUAGUGAAUUUGAAUAGCUGGGAAAUUAUGGGUGGGAUUUUCUAAACCUACACAUCUGCAGUGCGCCACCUGUGUACCUCUCACUUGUGGUCUGAUACUAUGGUUGACACAGUGGUCAAAUGUAUAACUAGUCUGGUACCUGUUACAUUAAAAAUAGGAUUGGUCUCAAGUUUAGGUGGAUGAUGGUGUAACCUAUUUUAUUUCAUCUACUACUACACUUAAAUGUGCAGCCUGCAGGAUGUUUAACUGGUUAGAGAGUAACAGAUCAGAGGUAUUAAAGGAUGUUUAACAGGUUAGAGAGUAACAGAUCAGAGGUAUUAAAGGAUGUUUAACUGGUUAGAGAGUAACAGAUCAGAAGUUGAUUUAGAUAGUUUCACUCCUUAUUUAGUGAGUAGUGAGCUAGUUUCUACCUUUGUUCAUCGUAUACAACCUCCUGGACAACUUUCAGCUAGUCUGCAUGGAAGGUGGCAACCCUAUAGCUAGCUAACGUUAGACAGUGAUUGAUAGACCGUUUGAAAGUGUCCCACCUAGUUUUGUGUAAAAUAGUCUUUGUAUGGUUGUUGCACUACACGUUUAGCUACACUGCAUGUGUAGCUUGCAAACUCAGCUACACAUUAUUAUUAUUCUAAAUAUUCUUUAGCAUGUAGCCGAGGUCUAGAGCUGACAAGGUAAACUGCAGGUCUAGGACUAACUCUUACAUUAGCAACCCACCAAUAUGUGUGUGCCUGUACUGUCAUGGUAAUUAGUUUUUAUUUUAAAUCCCAGCAUGGAAAACCGAUGAGUUUGCAAGUUUACCUAGCAUGAUGGCUAAUUCAUUUUGAGAGAGAUUUGUUUUUCUCAGAAAUAAUUUUAAACAUUUAUAUUUUUUUAUGUUCUAUGAGAAGAUACUUUCUCUCAAAACUUUUUUUAGUCUCAAAUAUUAUUAUUUUUUGCUCUCAGUGUGAUAACUUUUUCUCUCUGAUCAUUUAUUUUCUCGCAUGUAAUAAAGACACAAAUCUAACUCCAUACUUAAGGCGCUGCCAGUGUUUGUGUGGGAUGAAUGCGCACCCUGCUGGUGAAACUAAGCAACUACAUCUGAAAUCUACUAGGCUGUAUCGCUCUACACAUUGUUAAACUGUAAAACUGGGGAUUGCACUGUGUGUGUAACUAAUGGGCGUUACAUACAUAUUAAAAGUAAGAAUUAAUAGUGAAUUUUUAACUCUGAUACACCGUCACAAAAAAAUACAUAUUUCUCCAUUAUGUUCUUUCUGUAAAACAGAAAUCAAAUCUAUCUCUCAUCUAUUCCUUAAACAGACUCACAAGAGUUCUGGAUUGAAGUUGAUUUAUUCAUUUUAUUAAAGUUUAACCAGAUUGACACCCAUUAAUGUCAGAAAGUCCUGUUUCUCAUUAAUGUUUUAACGAAUUGAACCAAUUGAAUGAUAUUUGAAUAAAUCUGGGUAACACUUUAUAAUGAGUACACACUAUUAAGCAUUAGUUAAGCAUGAAUAAAUACUGGAAUCAUCAUUUAUAACGCAUGAAUACACAUUAGUAUGUAGUUUAUAAACACAGUUAAACAUGUUUUAUUCAUCAUUGAUAAGCACAUUAGUUAUGGAUUAGUAAAUACUGAAUCCAUCAUUUAUAAAGCAUGAUUCUGCUGUAAAUAGUCAUUACUAUGNNNNNNNNNNNNNNNNNNNNGUUUAUAUUAAUGGGGUAUCAUAGAACAACAAAUGACUUAGGAUCUGUUUUUCAGAAGCCUGCUACUAACCUAGUAUGGAAGUAAGUACAUAUAUAUUUAUAAAGCAUACUGUAAAAAAAGCCAACAGCUUUAAAAUCAGCUAAUGUGGAUCAAAGUUCUGAGUUAUUACCAAGAGGAACAAGGCAGCCAGCUCACUUUUACCUCUUCUCUUCUCUGCACACACACACACACACACACACACACACACACACACAGAGAGAGAGAAACACAAACACAGACAAAAAGAAGUGUUAGCCAUUCCAGCAACCACUGCUAAAUGAACUGCUAUUUCACUCAGUCAAUUACAUCUUACCUCCUUUAGUUGUUUCUUUUAUUUCAUUGUAGUGAAAUAUUUUUUGCUUCUAACAUUUUCAGCAGCCUAAAAUUAUGCGAAAAGAAGAAAGAAGGAGAAGAAAUUUAGAAACAGACUAUGACAUCCCCCAGGUGAAUACGGCUGCAAAAAAGGAAUUUUAAGAAAGUAAAAAAGCCUUGUAUCAAGGAAAUAAGUCUUAUUUUUUGUCCAAAAAGAAAAUUAAUCUUGUCAAGCAUGUUUCGCAUUGGAAAAAUAAUCUAAUUUUUAAGAAAGUACAGCUAACUUUUUCUUAAUAAGAUAUUCCAGCUACUUUUGAGCUAGAAUGAACCAGUAACAGGGUAUAAAAAUGUUUUACAAUAAAACCCAGUAGAGCAACAA
rnacentral:lncRNA from 15 species